GCAUAGGUUCUACUUGGGCUUGAUCUCAGGAUCCUGAGAUCAUGACCUGAGCCGAUACGAAGAGUCAGAAGCAUAACUGACUGCACCACACAGGCACCAGUGGAGCUGGUAAU